rnacentral:piRNA from 1 species
UCAGAAACCUGUGGUGACUC